rnacentral:miRNA from 1 species
AAAGGAUUCUGCUGUCUGUCCC